rnacentral:rRNA from 1 species
UACGGAGGGUGCGAGCGUUGUUCGGAAUCACUGGGCGUAAAGUGCGUGUAGGCGGCCCACUAAGUCUGAUGUGAAAGCCCGGGGCUCACCCCCGGAAGUGCAUUGGAAACUGGUGGACUCGAGUCCCGGAGAGGAGAGUGGAAUUCCUGGUGUAGCGGUGAAAUGCGUAGAUAUCAGGAGGAACACCGGUGGCGAAGGCGGCUCUCUGGACGGUAACUGACGCUGAGACGCGAAAGCGUGGGUAGCAAACAGG